GAUGAACGCUGGCGGCGUGCCUAAUACAUGCAAGUCGAGCGAACAGAUAAGGAUCUUGCUCCUUUGACGUUUGCGGCGGACGGGUGAGUAACACGUGGGUAACCUACCUAUAAUUCUUGUAUAACUCCGUGAAACCGGUGCUAAUGCCGGAUAACAUUUAGAACCUCAUGGUUCUAAAGUGAAAGUUGGUUUUGCUAUCUCUUAUAGAUGGACCCGCGCCGUAUUAGCUAGUUGGUAAGGUAACGGCUUACCAAGGCAACGAUACGUAGCCGACCUGAGAGGGAGAUCGGAAAAACGGGAAGUGAGAAACGGACAAGAGGACUACGGGAGGAAGCAGUAGGGAAUAGUCCGAAAUGGGCGAAAGCAUGACGGAGCAACGCCGAGUGAGUGAAGAAGGUCUUAGGAUCGUAAAAAUAUGUUAUUAGGGAAGAAAAAAUGUGUAAGAAACUGUGCACGUAUUGACGGUAACUAAUAAGAAAGCAACGGCUAACUACGUG
rnacentral:rRNA from 1 species